AGAAUCAACGCUGGCGGCGUGCCUAACACAUGCAAGUCGAACGAGAAAGUGGAGCAAUCCAUUAGUAAAGUGGCGCACGGGUGAGUAACACGUGACUAACCUACCCUUGAGUGGGGGGAUAACCUAGAGAAAUCUGGGCUAAUACCGCAUAAUACCUUCGGGUCAAAGGAGCAAUUCGCUUAAGGAGGGGUCGCGGCCGAUUAGUUAGUUGGCGGGGUAAUGGCCCACCAAGACUAUGAUCGGUAUCCGGCCUGAGAGGGCGCACGGACACACUGGAACUGAAACACGGUCCAGACUCCUACGGGAGGCAGCAGUGGGGAAUUUGCGCAAUGGGGGAAACCCUGACGCAGCAACGCCGCGUGGAGGAUGAAGCCCCUUGGGGCGUAAACUCCUUUCGAUCGGGACGAUAAUGACGGUACCGAGAGAAGAACGCCCCGGCUAACUCGCGCCAGCAGCCGC
rnacentral:rRNA from 1 species